UUAGAGGAAGGAGAAGUCGUAACAAGGUUUCCGUAGGUGAACCUGCGGAAGGAUCAUUAGAGGUUUUUAUACAAAUCUAUAUAACACUUUAUAAACUACUCUUUGGACUAGGUCUUUCUAGGCUUUCCUACCCUUAGAGUGUCCUAAAGAAGCCUUUCCCUUUCCUAUUUCAGUUUCCGAUUUUAUUUUUUUUACCUCGUACAACUCUUAACGGUGGAUGACUCGGCUUCC
rnacentral:misc_RNA from 1 species